UACGUAGGUGGCAAGCGUUGUCCGGAUUUACUGGGCGUAAAGAGCGCGCAGGCGGUCGUUCAAGUCGCGUGUGAAAGCCCCCCGGCUCAACUGGGGAGGGUCACGCGAUACUGAUCGACUCGAAGGCAGGAGAGGGUAGUGGAAUUCCCGGUGUAGUGGUGAAAUGCGUAGAUAUCGGGAGGAACACCAGUGGCGAAGGCGACUACCUGGCCUGUUCUUGACGCUGAGGCGCGAAAGCUAGGGGAGCAA
rnacentral:rRNA from 1 species